rnacentral:siRNA from 1 species
CAAAACAACUUUCUCACAGGCGAA